GUUUGUUGGCUGUGCUGGGAGAGAGUUGGAUUUUGUUGGCCAAGCUAUGAAGAAGGAGUCAGGGCUGUGAGGAGGUGUCCAUGAGAAAUCACCGAGAAGGAAACUGUCUCAGAAAUCCAGAAAGAUGGUUUCUUCCAAGAGGAGGCUUUCUGAGGUCAGCCAGGAUAGCUCACAAGCUUUGCAAGCAAAUGUCUUUGCUCACCCAAAGAACAACUGUAGCAUCACAAGUCAACAUUGCUGCCCUGUAAUCCUCCUCUAGCUAACACUGCCACAAAAAACAAGUGAUGAGAGCCAGGCUGGCAAAGUUGUCAUGGUGAAAAGGGGACAAAAACUAAGGCUGCCCUUCCCUGGCAGAAUCCCAGCUGGAAUGCAGCACUACAAACACCAUCUGCUUUCUCCUGCAAAUAAGCCCUUACAGGGUGCAGUGGGCCUGCCUGGUAGAGGAGGAAAAUUCUGCCCCUGUUUAUCACAGCCACUGUGGAUUUGGACUCUGCCUUUGAUUAUCCCAUGUCCUAGAUGUAGUAUUUACCCAGGCUGUACAGCACCAUUACCGAGAGAAACCAAACCUAGAGGCUGAUUCUCCUCAAGUGCUGCUGUGUGCUUUGCAGCCAGAGUCAAUGAGAGCUGAACCAAGCCUGCACUCCUGCUUCAGACCACAAACUUUGAUACUCGGCUAAAAAUAAGCGGCGCACACUGAGCCCUUCCGCCCGCAGCAGCAGCCCCAGCGCUUCCUGCCCUUGUGCGCGCUCCUCACAGCCCUGCUCACUCCGGGGCUUUCCUGCACACGCUCAGGGCAUCACUCGUAUGUCAGUGCUUCAACACAUGCACGUUUUCCAAGUGGGACUUGGAUGGAUUUCUAAGUUACUGACAGUAAU